rnacentral:rRNA from 1 species
GGGUUGUGAGGUUAAGCGACUAAGCGUACACGGUGGAUGCCCUGGCAGUCAGAGGCGAUGAAGGACGUGCUAAUCUGCGAAAAGCGUCGGUAAGGUGAUAUGAACCGUUACAGCCGGCGAUGUCCGAAUGGGGAAACCCAGUGUGAUUCGUCACACUAUCGUUAACUGAAUACAUAGGUUAACGAGGCGAACCGGGGGAACUGAAACAUCUAAGUACCCCGAGGAAAAGAAAUCAACCGAGAUUCCCCCAGUAGCGGCGAGCGAACGGGGAGCAGCCCAGAGUCUGAAUCAGCUUGUGUGUUAGUGGAACGGUCUGGAAAGUCCGACGGUACAGGGUGAUAGUCCCGUACACCAAAAUGCACAGGCUGUGAACUCGAAGAGUAGGGCGGGACACGUGGUAUCCUGUCUGAAUAUGGGGGGACCAUCCUCCAAGGCUAAAUACUCCUGACUGACCGAUAGUGAACCAGUACCGUGAGGGAAAGGCGAAAAGAACCCCGGCGAGGGGAGUGAAAAAGAACCUGAAACCGUGUACGUACAAGCAGUGGGAGCACCUUCGGGUGUGACUGCGUACCUUUUGUAUAAUGGGUCAGCGACUUAUAUUCUGUAGCAAGGUUAACCGUAUAGGGGAGCCGCAGGGAAACCGAGUCUUAACUGGGCGUUAAGUUGCAGGGUAUAGACCCGAAACCCGGUGAUCUAGCCAUGGGCAGGUUGAAGGUUGGGUAACACUAACUGGAGGACCGAACCGACUAAUGUUGAAAAAUUAGCGGAUGACUUGUGGCUGGGGGUGAAAGGCCAAUCAAACCGGGAGAUAGCUGGUUCUCCCCGAAAGCUAUUUAGGUAGCGCCUCGUGAACUCAUCUUCGGGGGUAGAGCACUGUUUCGGCUAGGGGGUCAUCCCGACUUACCAACCCGAUGCAAACUACGAAUACCGAAGAAUGUUAUCACGGGAGACACACGGCGGGUGCUAACGUCCGUCGUGAAGAGGGAAACAACCCAGACCGCCAGCUAAGGUCCCAAAGUCAUGGUUAAGUGGGAAACGAUGUGGGAAGGCACAGACAGCCAGGAUGUUGGCUUAGAAGCAGCCAUCAUUUAAAGAAAGCGUAAUAGCUCACUGGUCGAGUCGGCCUGCGCGGAAGAUGUAACGGGGCUAAACCAUGCACCGAAGCUGCGGCAGCGACACUAUGUGUUGUUGGGUAGGGGAGCGUUCUGUAAGCCUGCGAAGGUGACCUGUGAGGGUUGCUGGAGGUAUCAGAAGUGCGAAUGCUGACAUAAGUAACGAUAAAGCGGGUGAAAAGCCCGCUCGCCGGAAGACCAAGGGUUCCUGUCCAACGUUAAUCGGGGCAGGGUGAGUCGACCCCUAAGGCGAGGCCGAAAGGCGUAGUCGAUGGGAAACAGGUUAAUAUUCCUGUACUUGGUGUUACUGCGAAGGGGGGACGGAGAAGGCUAUGUUAGCCGGGCGACGGUUGUCCCGGUUUAAGCAUGUAGGCUGGUUAUCCAGGCAAAUCCGGAUAAUCAAGGCUGAGGUGUGAUGACGAGGCACUACGGUGCUGAAGUAACAAAUGCCCUGCUUCCAGGAAAAGCCUCUAAGCAUCAGGUAACAUCAAAUCGUACCCCAAACCGACACAGGUGGUCAGGUAGAGAAUACCAAGGCGCUUGAGAGAACUCGGGUGAAGGAACUAGGCAAAAUGGUGCCGUAACUUCGGGAGAAGGCACGCUGGUGUGUAGGUGAAGUCCCUGCGGAUGGAGCUGAGACCAGUCGAAGAUACCAGCUGGCUGCAACUGUUUAUUAAAACACAGCACUGUGCAAACACGAAAGUGGACGUAUACGGUGUGACGCCUGCCCGGUGCCGGAAGGUUAAUUGAUGGGGUUAUCCGUAAGGAGAAGCUCUUGAUCGAAGCCCCGGUAAACGGCGGCCGUAACUAUAACGGUCCUAAGGUAGCGAAAUUCCUUGUCGGGUAAGUUCCGACCUGCACGAAUGGCGUAAUGAUGGCCAGGCUGUCUCCACCCGAGACUCAGUGAAAUUGAACUCGCUGUGAAGAUGCAGUGUACCCGCGGCAAGACGGAAAGACCCCGUGAACCUUUACUAUAGCUUGACACUGAACAUUGAGCCUUGAUGUGUAGGAUAGGUGGGAGGCUUUGAAGCGUGGACGCCAGUCUGCGUGGAGCCAACCUUGAAAUACCACCCUUUAAUGUUUGAUGUUCUAACGUUGGCCCCUUACCGGGGUUGCGGACAGUGUCUGGUGGGUAGUUUGACUGGGGCGGUCUCCUCCCAAAGCGUAACGGAGGAGCACGAAGGUUAGCUAAUCCUGGUCGGACAUCAGGAGGUUAGUGCAAUGGCAUAAGCUAGCUUGACUGCGAGCGUGACGGCGCGAGCAGGUGCGAAAGCAGGUCAUAGUGAUCCGGUGGUUCUGAAUGGAAGGGCCAUCGCUCAACGGAUAAAAGGUACUCCGGGGAUAACAGGCUGAUACCGCCCAAGAGUUCAUAUCGACGGCGGUGUUUGGCACCUCGAUGUCGGCUCAUCACAUCCUGGGGCUGAAGUAGGUCCCAAGGGUAUGGCUGUUCGCCAUUUAAAGUGGUACGCGAGCUGGGUUUAGAACGUCGUGAGACAGUUCGGUCCCUAUCUGCCGUGGGCGCUGGAGAAUUGAGGGGGGCUGCUCCUAGUACGAGAGGACCGGAGUGGACGCAUCACUGGUGUUCGGGUUGUCAUGCCAAUGGCACUGCCCGGUAGCUAAAUGCGGAAGAGAUAAGUGCUGAAAGCAUCUAAGCACGAAACUUGCCCCGAGAUGAGUUCUCCCUGAGACUUUAAGUCUCCUGAAGGAACGUUAAAGACGAUGACGUUGAUAGGCCGGGUGUGUAAGCGCAGCGAUGCGUUGAGCUAACCGGUACUAAUGAACCGUGAGGCUUAACCUUACAACGCCGAAG